rnacentral:rRNA from 1 species
GCCACAGCCAUAUUACUCUGUGGCCCAAGACUGGUUACUCCAUAAAGCUAAACAGGGCUGAGCCUGGUCAAUACCUGGAUUGGUGACCACAUAAGAAAACUAGGAUGCUGUUGGCA